rnacentral:lncRNA from 1 species
CCCUCUUCUUAGUGCAGAUGGAGAGCAGAAUCGCUGCUAUCGUCUAACACCACAUAUCUCCCCACCAUUACCAUUCAACAUCGCCUAUCUCGCCCACCAAAGUGUGCUACUGACUGCAGGCAGGGUCUGUCGUACCGAACCGUACCGCCCGGUACGGACGGUACAUACCGGUCCGACAGAUUGUCGGUACGCGGACCAUCUGUUACCGGUCCGAGUGCACUGUAGCACUGUAGCAGUGCUACAGUACUCGGAUACACCUGGGUGUACUGCUCGAUAUACCGUAUCGUACCGGUACCGAGCCCAGGUCGAAAUACCGGUACGGUACUGUAUUACGAACCUUGACUGCAGGUAUACUUCAUCGCUUCCUCUUCUUCCUUCUUCCUUCUCUUCCUCCAUUGCCUCUUCUUCCUUCUCCUCCUUCCUCCCCAUUUGUUCCUCUUCUCCUUUUUCUUCCUCUUUUAAACACCGGUACAUACGAAUCUGGUAGGGACCAAUACAGAUCUAGUACAUACUGGUCCGACCAGGGACCAGUAUAGUCUUGAAUUUGAUUAAUGUAAUUACUUUCUAGAAAUUGUCAUGUGUUAUUAAUCUGGGUAUGAGUUUAUGUUUAUAAUGUUGGUUGAUCUUAUCAUUUUUAUCGUAUUCUAUAUGACUAAAAUUUUGUUUUCAUUUGUUUAAGAUUUUAUUAUUUUAUUUUUAUA